rnacentral:lncRNA from 1 species
AUGCUUCUCCAGCUGUGAGACUGGAAGAACUCUGCCUUGAAGGCCCAAAGCAAUUAUGAAUGCAAGAAUCAGUGGUUGCAAGAAGCUAUGAUGAAACUGGAGUAAAAAUGCCUUCUAAUCAAGAAAGUGUUGGGGGAAGGUGGUGGGAGGGUUGUUACCACAUAAAUUCCACACUCAGUACAGCACUGGGACACUGGCUAGUCAAUAUUCAAAGAAAAACUAAAAAUUAAGAUAUUUGGAAUGUGCUAGAUGAAAAUAAACCCUGAAGAAUGGGCCUAGCGCCACUGCAAAUUUUGAACUCCCCAAGAUAGCAGGAUUAUUUUAAUGCUACACACUGAGAGAGAAGAAUUUUUCUUCAAGCUAGAGAAUUUAAAUAGUGCCAUAAUUAAUUCCAUGGUGAGAUCUUUCUCCUUACUGAAUUUUAAUCCACAAGUCUUGAAGGCUAGACCCCUGGGAGAGAAUAAUUGGCAAAGUGGUGAGCCAGAAGUACAGAUUUUUUUCUUGAUUUGUAUCUACCCUCCAUUGCUCAGAUAUCAUUAAGUCCUAGGCAAGAGUAAUGUGGGUCGGGUUUAAUUGUGUUUUUGGAACCUUCUUUUUGCUUGGGGUAACUGCUUUCAGGCCUGGGGAUUGGCUUAUUGUCUUCAUUUUGUGAGUGUGUGGCUUAAUGCUAAGAUAUUCCUUUGUUCCCAGUGUAUGUUUUAGACUUUUUACAAAUGGAAGCACAUAAGAGACUUGGCAGGAAUAAUCCAAUCUCAGAGGCACUGUAGAGCAUCAGCCUUUCCAGGGAGAGACAGACAGGUUGAAGCUGUUGAAAUUCUUCAACUUCACUCUGGCGUCUGAUUUAGCCUUCUGUGCUCUGGCUGAGAAUUAGCAGGAUUAAAAAAAAAAAUGGCAAUGAUGAUUUCUGGACUAAAAUGAAGAUUUUGGACUGUCUUUGAACUUAAUCUUUAACGUCAAGAUACUCUUGUUUUGGAAUUGUUUUUAUUUACGUAUUAACCUGAGAAUUAGGAUCUUUGAAUUCUGUGGACUUACUCCAUAGGCUCUUAUCUCGGCACUUUAGUUUCUCCCAGGUAUAGGGUAAUGAGGGGUGUUUAGAUUUCAGUUUGGAUUAUUUCUGUAUUGCUGACACCUUGGUCUUAGAGCGUUUUUAUGCUGUCAUUUUACUGAACAGGGUAACUUGUGGUGAAGUCACCUUGUACAUUGUGGCUAGUCUUACUUCAAGAAGAAGUAAAAUAAGAGUAAGGAAUACUUUUCUGCUCUAGGGAACAGCAGCAUCUUCAUUUGAUAUAUGGUAGUGACCCACUUUAGACCCCCAUGGGGACAAAAGCCAAACUUCUCCUGGGAGCAGAAGGAAAUUCAAACAGCAGUAGUGGGUAAUAGGGGCAUGGACUCAGAAAAGAUGAAUGGGAUGGGCUUCGUAGAAUGCUGCUCACCUCUUCUGGGAGGAAUAUUCACACGGCCGGUGGAACACAGACUCUAGAGUGAAGUACUAUCAUUCAAGAAAACAACAAGCUGAAAUGUAAAAAGAAGGAUUUCUAGUUUUCGGACCUCAGGUUUCCAUGUGGGAUGGCUUCCUGUAGAGUAACACACCUGCUCGCUCUCUCCACAUCUCACUUAUUCUCUUUCCUUACAUAAAUGAAUUGUAUAUUGUAUUGGGGGGGUUCAAAGAAAUAUUUGGGCAUGACUAGCCCACUUGUAGUGGACUAAAUAGUACCACCCCUCCCAAUUCAUGUCUACCCAGAACCUAAGAAGGUGACCUUUUUUUUUUUUUUUUUUUUGGAAAUACAGUUUUUUUUUUUUUUUCAGAUAUUAUCAAGUUAAAAAAAGGUCAUGCUAGAUUAGAGUGGGCUCUAAAUCCAUUGACUGGUGUCCUCAUCAGAAGAGAGGAUGCACAGUGCCAUCAGAGAAGCAGGCACAACUUAGAGGGAUGCAUCUGGAAGGUGAGGAGCACCAAGAGUUGCUGGAGACCCCAGGUGCAGGCAAGGAAGGAUUCUUCUCUAGAGUCUUCAGAGGGUCUUCAGAGGGAGCAUGGCCCUUCUGACACUUUGCUCUCAGAUUUCUAGUCUCCAGAGCUGUGGGGGAAUAAAGCUCUGCUGUCCUAAGCCAUCAAGUUCAUGGUGAUUUGUUACAACAACCCUGGGAAACAGCUCCAUCAUCUUUCUUUUUGGAUCAAGGUCUGUCUUCAAGAAGCAUACGUGCUGGUCUGGUCUCUGCCACGUGGUCAUCUAGCUUUGUCUAUGAGGAGUGUUGAAUCUGUCUAAUUCAGGUUCAGCAAUUAAUUUUCCCAAAUGCAAUUAAUUAUCAUUUAAUAUAUAAAACAUGUAAUAAUAAUGGCUAAUGUUCCAAUGUAACUGAUUUUCGUAACAAAAUGGAUAUAGUUUCUAAUCAAACUGAACAGAAAAGUGUUGUCUAGAAGAAAGCCCCUACCUUGGAUGCUUUUUCAUCAUAGUUUGUGUCUCCGUUCUCUCUUUAUAACUUGUGGGACUACAAAGCAGGCCUUUCAAGUGUUAGUGAAUUUGUGAGGGAAAAUCGGUUUAAAAAAUGUAGCAACGAUAUGUACGUUCUCAGUUCUACAAGGAGAAAUGAUUCUAUUCUGCUGCCCUCCUCAGGGGAAAUGGCAAAGGUGAAAAAUGCGAAGGAUGCAGCAGGCAUUGUUAGCUUUGUAAACUGACAUGUCGAAUUCCCUACUUUGCUGUACAUUUUCUCCUCACUUUCUCUGUAGUUGAUUGAAUGAGAAAGUACCUGUCCUGGCUUCAGACACUAAAUAAGUUGGAGAAACUGUUGAAAAUACUGCCUUAAGGUAUACAUGUACCAUGUUAUAAUACUUGAAAAUAUGAAGACACAUAUACAUUUAUUUAUAUAUAACAUUAGUAAAUAUAUUGUAAAGAUAUACUAUUAUAUGUACUUAUAUUUGUAAAUGAAUACAGCCUAUUAUUUUAGUGAAAUAUUAAAUUUCCACUUGCAUUUUAUCUUACUAGUUAUGUUCAAACUAAAGCUUAAGCAUGCUUUCUGGUUCAUGCGAUUCUGAAUAAAAAGUUUCUCAGUGGUAAAUAACUCACCAAAAAUAGUUCUGCCUCUAUUAAAGCACCAUCACACUGUAUUACAGGUAUUUAUUCAUCUGAUUUCCCCUUCUUAAGAGAAAUAAGGGACAAUGUUUUGUCUCUAUAAUUUAGUUUUAUCCCUUAGAGCCUACCAUAAAGUGGGUGUUGAAAACUUUGUAAGUUUUAGGGGAAAAAAAAUGAAUGGAUUAAUGAUGUCAGCAAACUCUGUUUCCAAAUAUCUUAACUGCUUCCAGACCUGUUGAUAUUAAAUGUCUUUAAAAUUUGUUAAUGGAAUCCAGUAUUAUCCUCCACUCUCCACUAACUCUCCAAAAUUUGAAUACCAGCUAGUGACAGAAUGAGACAGUCACCAUUUCAAUGGCACUUCUAUUCAUCGACCUUACAAAUAAGACCUCAUAUUCACUAAGAAUGCACUCACUGUAAGGUGAGUCACUUAAUCCUGACUGAAUACCAGGAAGAAGGAUUACAAAAGUUAUUGUGCCAGUAAUGCUAUUGUUUGUCCACUUGCUGUGACCUAAAAUGUUUUCAUUUAUGAAGGACAAGUGGGGGAGGCUAAAACUGGCAUAAUGCUUUCAUAUAUGAUCCUAUUUAAAGUGAAGAAGUCCCUGCUUGUAAAUUUCAUGGGACACAACUGAGGGAAAUAGUCUCUGUAAGGAAAUUCAUUUCCAAAACAGAUGUACAUUUAACUAUGAGCAUUAUCUGCUAAAGGGAGGCCUCAUCAUGAAUCUGUGGCAGAUUUGUUCUUACUAAUGCUUACAACAAACAAGGAUAGACUGCCAGGUGACCUAACAGGGACUGACUAGUUCAUGUCUUCUCAGCAAAGACCCAGAACUGUGCACUGAGAGAAUGACAGGGAUAAUCAGAUAAGCACAUUAUUUGGAGAUCUGAAAGCAGGAUAAUUUGAUUGGGGCUGGAAUCGAAUAGUUACAUAGGAUAGUAAAAUGAAGGAUAUUAGCUGACCAGGGGCAAGUCAUCUAGGAAAACCAGGAAAUGAGAACAUCAGAGUUGCUCAGAAACCAUACACAGAGGAUUUAAGGGGAUUUCUAUGAAUGACAGCUGAAUAUGGUAUAAAAUGAUGGCUAAGCUACCUACACAAAUACAGAUACAGCCUAGUAUGAUCAGGGUAAAAUAAUGCUGAGACUCUUAUGGGUUAUCCCACCCCUUUCGGGUCCUGCAGAAGUGUCACAAUUAUGUAGUCUUAUCUCAAUCAGCAGACUAACCUUCAUGCCAACCCCAUAAAAAGUCACACCUGACUCCCUUUGUUCUUAGUUCUGCCUCGAGUCCUUACACUGACCCAACACCCCUUCACCUUCCAGUUCUGUUCCUCAUGUUUCUGACCUCUGACCUUGUGACUCCUUUUCCGAUGAUAGUUCCAACUGUUUCCAGACUUAACCUCAGCAUUGCUGCCAAUGGUAUUUUUGUUUUGUUUUGUUCGUUACCGAGAGAUGGAUUUCUUCUUUGUCUCAGCUGCCAUGAGUUACUCUGUAAAUAACCUGAAUGAUCCAGCCAAGAUUUGAGACCUUGUCUAUCACCACAUACCCUUGAAGACAGGUGUACAUGAUAUUUUCAGAGGAACCAGCUCAUGAGAGAACACUCAAAUUGGAGACAAUUUCUGGGUAGAACUUCUAACUUCAAACCUGAGCCCCACAUUUAUUAUAGUGAUAAGGAUAUGGUAAAGACACCUUUCAAUAUGGCAAAAUUUCUACAUUUCUGUUCUCACAGGAAGGUCCAAAGCUCAUUUAGCUCUUCAAAUUAAUACAUAAUCUAUAAUCAUUUUGCUCCUCAUAUCUGGAUGGGAAAGAUGUUUAAUGGAUAAAUAAGAAUGUUUCUGUUUGUUGGUCUCUUUAUACGUCAUAGGAAAGGGUGCUUUUUUACUCCAACUCAAUCUUUUCUUGGUAUUGUUAUCAAUCAUGUUUGGAUCCCCCAACUUCAUAUUCUUGAAACUUUUAAAAAAUACCUUCCUGAGAAUUUGGAUGAGAGGCAAAAGUCAAGUGUGGGGAAGUCAAGAUCUAUCUCAGACCAAGUGUUGGUGUCAAUCAUCAUAAGACUUUCGAGGUCGUUUGAUUUCAUUCCUUCCAGAAAAGCCACUGUUUCCAUUCAAAUUCCUGCCAGCCAGUUUUUUAGCCUCUGCUUGCACUUUACAAGUAUCAUUUUUCUAGAUUAUAAUUCACUUUUCACGUUCACCAUGGAAUAAAUGGUAGAGAAAAGAGAUGGGAAAGAUCACAUGCUUCAGUCCUGAAACAUGAUCAACCAUGGAAACCCAGGGGCCUUAUUGAUUUAGUAUUAGUUUGAGGGGAGGGACCUUACUGGGUGUGUCUUUAACACAGAUAUUUUAAGUGUGACAAAAAGAUCUUGGAAUGGACAAAAUGUAAUAUCUAUGAAUUGUUGAUCAUGGUUUACUGUGUCAAGCACUGUGCUAGGUACAUACGGCAUGCAUUAACUCAUUUAUUCUUGAUAAUUCUGUGUUUAUCCAUCUUGCAAAUGAAAAAACAGUUUGUUAUACAUAAUGCACUUGCUCAAGGUUACCAAGCCAGUAAUGGAUAGUCCCAUGUUCUUUAAACUCAACACCAAGCUCGUGCUUUCUCGCUGGAGCGAUAGUAGAUGAAAUCUCUCAUUUACUAGCCUUAAGACCGCUGAAUGGAACUGGAGUUUACAUGAUUUCCUUGAAUACAAGCAUCUGCUCCAAUGGCUUCUAAAUAAUUUACUCCCCAAAUUACACAUUUUUCAUUGCCUAAGAUCAUCGAAUUCUCAAAAUUUAGACCCAAAGUUCCACUGAAACCACAGAAUCUUAUCUGUUGACUGCUCAUGUUUUCUUAAUCCUACUGAAUACUUUUCUGACCUCCAAUUCCUUGAAAUCCCUCGUUUUCUUUUCACCUAUGCCCUUAUGUAUCUUCACUUUCUUUUCUACUGAAGUUGAAUCCACUCACCCAUCUCCACAUGUGCUCUUUCACCAAAAACUUUUCUGUGGUAUCCCUCUGCCUCUCUAUUUUGCCAGUUCAGUUCUCAAUUAAUCACUGCUUGCUCUAACACUGUUCAGAAAACCAUACCACCUUUCUAACUGUAUCAUGGCAAGGAUCUAGGAUCCACCAGCACCCCUGAGAGGGUUGUUUUGUUUUUGUUUUUGUUUUUGUUUUUGUGUGUGUGUGCUCUCCUACUUACCUUCCUUUCGCAUGUCUCAUAGUGUUUCUUCCAAACUCUAAUUAUUGUUAUUGGUUCCUUAUUCCAAGCCUGCCUUAUUCUUAGUAGAAGAGCUUGUUUCCUAAUUUCCAGAGAAAAUAGAAGACUAAGGCCCUUCCCCCAUGUACUUGUGUCAGUCACCCUAAGUAUCUACAAGACUCACUCCCUCACCUCUUUUAAGACAUGUCUUCCCCCCACCCAAUUCCAACCACCCUAUUUAAAUUAAAAGCAUCUUCUUCCUCGGCUGACUUGGUCCUCAGGUUUCUUCUUAAAGCAAUCACUUUCUAACACACUCUCUCAUAUAUAUAUAUAAAUAAACAUAUAUAUAAUGUUUAUUGUUAUUGUUUAUCUCCACCAGGUAGAAUAUAAGCUCCCCUGGAAGCUUUGUCUAUUUAGUACACUGAUGUACUUCAAGCACCUAAAACAGUACCUGGCUUGUGGUAGGGACCAGUAAAUAUUUGUUGGGUGAAUGAACAAAUAUGCACAAAUAUUUUGGUCCCUCACUUUCUUCCCUCUCAUAGGAAGAGGUUACUUUACCCAUCUCUAUGUAUGACAAAUCUGGAUAACUGCUACUGCAGAAAAGAUCGGGAAGAUGAUAUAAUUUGCUUGUUUACAUCUAAAUUAUGACUUUAUAAGAGAGCACUAAGGUUGCAUACUUGACAUCCAGUACAAGAAAUUUUCCCCUGUCAUUCCUUUUUCUACCUAACUAGGUCAAGGGCAGCAAAUGCAUUUGCUGACUCCCUCACCUCUGAUUAUCUCUCCGUAAAUCUGGACCAAACACAUAUCACUGCUGUACUCAAUCUCUGUCACUAAAUACACUUCCAAAACAACUGGCCUCCAGGUUGACCCAAAGGAACUGACUUCUGCUGUAUUUCAUUUUCUGUGAUAGCUUUGGCCAAUGUCUUUUGUCAAUACAAGUGAAUUUUGUGCUGAUUAUAGUCUACCAGAGACUUCAUUGACACCAGCAAGUACAUUUCUCUUUGGAACACAAGUCAAACUUGUGUUAAAGUCCCCAGUGAACAAGAAUAGUUGAGUGUGGAGCAGUAAUGUAAUCGACUAUUAUCCCCUUUGGCUAAAAACUGUUCACAUGGAAUCCACAGCCUGCAAAAUACAAUGCAAACACAUGCUAAUUACCUAUUUCCUGGGAUAAAAUAUGAUUAUAAAAAAUACUCUGUCAAGUAGACUGUAACUACAAAUACUGCAUUCCCAUACUUUGUCAGAGAACCCUUCUUAGAAGAUCUACUGCCUAUACCCUGAGGGCGUAAGUCCCACCGAACAAAUACAUCUUUUGGUAAUAUUUGAAAAUGUUAUUAUGGCCUGCCUUCUCAUUGUCCUUAAAAACAAACAAAUAAAACACAGUAGUUGUGUUCAGUCUAGUUUUGUGGUUGUCUUUAAUCCUUUUGUUGAUUCCUAUCUUUACCUGAAGUUGGUUUCAUUUUGUCUGUGCCAAAAGAUCUUUUUGAUUUUUAAGUCAAAUAUUGUAUGAAGUAGAAACAUGAUUGUGUGUUUUUUUGUAAUACUCUAUAUUUUUUUUAAAAAAGAGCAAUGAUUCAAUCUGCAACCUUUAUGUGUUGCUUAAAAGGAAUGAGGGCCAUCUGUUUGUCUGCUAUGAGGGUAAGGGAUUGAAGCAAUUUGUGGUUAAAUAAAUUAGGUGUGGAAUUGCUUUCUUUAUUGUUUCCACUGAACAAGUCUUUUCUAGCUUUUUUUUCCUCUUUAAAUAAACUAUUGGAUUAGAGACCCCACUUCACUUAGACUAUGACAAGGCUAAACUAACAGUCAAUUUCCAAAUCACAAAUGGAUUUUGUCAUUAAAAUGUGUUUGCUAAGUUCUUUUGGUUCUGUGACCCACUAAUAAAUUUUUACAUAGAAAUGCAUUCCUAGAGUUCCUUCUGUGGCUCGGUAGUUAGUGAACCCAACUAGUAUCCAUGAGGAUGCAUGUUCAAUUCCUGGUCUCACUCAGUGGGUUAAGGAUCUGGCCUGGCUGUGAGCUGUGGUGUGGGUUGCAGAUGUGGCUCAAAUCCCAUGUUGCUUGGCUGUGGCUGUGGCUGUGGCAUGGGCUGGUAGCUUCAGCUCUGAUUGGACCCCUAGCCUGCAAAUCUCCAUAUGCCACAAGUGUGGC